UGUAUGAUUGAACUUCACAAGGCACUCACGAGUAUUGUAAUAAUUAUUCUUAGAAAACAAAUGACUAAAUGUAUAAUAUUCAUCAUACUUACACAGUAGACAGUAGUUCUUCUACAGUUUUUGCUAUUAGUUCUUUUCUUUGUAAAUCAAUUGUAUUAGUGUCGUGUACAAAUGAUUGGAUAUCGACUCAAAAACAAAGAUGGAAAACCUGAGUACGGAGUAGAAGAUUCAAAUUUUGAAUUGACCUUUUAUUCAACUUUUGUUUACAAGCCAUUCACGUCACUGGAUUUACAAAGUAAUUAGGUCCUGAUUAUAAAGUAUCGUAACCAAAUGUAUGUCUACAUGAGAAAAUUCAAACAUCAAUACUUGCGGGAUCUACUGAAAGCAGAAAGAGUACCCGAGUAUCACAGUGCUUAAUUAUAAUACGAGGCCGCAAUCACCAUAUUAGUACUUCCCAAAAUGAGUGCCAAGACUUUGACAAGCUGUGAAGCACCAGAAACAAAAAAAACAUCUCGAUCAACUGUUGGCUGUUCAGUAAGAUUGUAUAACUGCUCUGAACCUAAUACAAAAAUUAAGGUAUUUUGUUGAAUGAAACGAUAAGUAAUCUCUUAUUCUUACUAGUCAACUGUUCGGCAAAGUAAACUAGAGAAGUUUAUUGACAAAUAUUUAAAUGGGUAUUUUGAAAAAAAGUUGAAAAAACGGCCAACAUUACAGCUAGUUUACUGUCUGCAACAACGAACAUUUUACAACUUCAAAUUUGUUUUAAAUUUUAAGUAGAGUGAUAACGCUGAUGACAAUAUCACAAAGAAGAUUGUAUCCAACUAAAUAAUUUUUCUUGAGAGGAUAAAACUGUUUCCUGUUCUGAUGCAUGGAUGAAAAAGAUAAACGAUUAUAAGCGCCCUUGACCUGCUCGGAGAACUUUUUUAUACGUUUUUUUUACCAACAUCUGUUAAAACAUUAUUUAUGGAAUCGUUAAUGUUUAUACAGCGUUUGCUGGACAAAGAGCCAUACGAGCUGGAAGUGAGCGACCUGGAUACAAGUAUGAUAAACUAUGUCUUUUAUGACUUAGAAAACAUUUAUUACCAAAUAGUGGUGUCACUGUAAUUAUUCAACUACAACAAAUUAUGCAAAGCGUAAAAGAUACGUGUUUAUUUGUUAAACACGAUGAAAUAGUUUAAAAUGCCAUUUAAUUUGUGCAAAGGAGACACAAGAAUCAUCCUUAAAUGCAAUGUGUGCAUAAGUCUGUCGGUGCUGAUGAAGAUCUAUUAGUUCACCCCCGAUCAAUUUUCACCUAUGUUAAUCGAUCGCAUUUGUACGC